rnacentral:rRNA from 1 species
UACGUAGGGUGCGAGCGUUGUCCGGAAUUACUGGGCGUAAAGAGCUCGUAGGUGGUUUGUCGCGUUGUUCGUGAAAACCUGAGGCUUAACCUUGGGCGUGCGGGCGAUACGGGCAGACUGGAGUACUGCAGGGGAGACUGGAAUUCCUGGUGUAGCGGUGGAAUGCGCAGAUAUCAGGAGGAACACCGGUGGCGAAGGCGGGUCUCUGGGCCGUAACUGACGCUGAGGAGCGAAAGCGUGGGGAGCGAACAGG